rnacentral:rRNA from 1 species
CCUACGGGUGGCAGCAGUGGGGAAUAUUGGGCAAUGGGCGCAAGCCUGACCCAGCAACGCCGCGUGAAGGAAGAAGGCUUUCGGGUUGUAAACCUCUUUUCUCAGGGACGAAGCAAGUGACGGUACCCGAGGAAUAAGCCACGGCUAACUACGUGCCAGCCGCCGCGGUAAUACGGAGGGGGCAAUCGUUAUCCGGAUUUACUGGGUGUAAAGGGGUGGUAGGCGGGACAGCAAGUCAGAUGUGAAAACCAGGGGCCCAACCUGUGGCCUGCAGUUGAUACUGUUUGUCUUGAGUACUGGAGAGGCAGACGGAAUUCGUAGUGUAGCGGUGAAAUGCGUAGAUAUGAGGAGGAACACCAGUGGCGAAGGCGGUCUGCUGGACAGCAACUGACGCUGAGGCGCGAAAGCGUGGGGAGCAAACAGGAUUAGAUACCCUAGUAGUC